rnacentral:sRNA from 1 species
UUGACAGCACCAGAGGCCUUUCUCCACAGAACAGGUUCAGUACAGGCAGUGUCAGGGCAGGCUUCUCCAGCCCUGCCCCUGCUAAUGUGCCUCAGCGCAGACCUACAAUUACCAUAACUAGGGGCAAAAGGAUAGUUCCGGCUCCAUGGCUUAUUCAAUUCUUAUCCUCU